rnacentral:rRNA from 1 species
UGCAAGUCGAGCGAGAAGUCUCUUCGGAGAUAAGUACAGCGGCGGACGGGUGAGUAACGCGUGAGAAUUUUCCCUUUAGUGAAGAAUACCCUUGAGAAAUCAGGGUUAAUACUGCAUACGUCCCUCCGGGGAGAAAGGUGGCCUCUUUGCUGCCGCUAAAGGAUAAGCUUGCGUACUAUUAGCUAGUUGGUGAGGUAAAGGCUCACCAAGGCGAUGAUGGUUAGCCGGCCUGAGAGGGUGUACGGCCACACUGGAACUUAGACACGGUCCAGACUCCUACGGGAGGCAGCAGUGAGGAAUAUUGCGCAAUGGGCGAAAGCCUGACGCAGCGACGCCGCGUGGAGGAUGAAGGUCUUCGGAUUGUAAACUCCUGUUAAGUGGGAAGAAAGACCUAUUUCUAAUACAGAUAGGGGAUGACGGUACCAUUAGAGAAAGCACCGGCUAACUUCGUGCCAGCAGCCGCGGUAAUACGAGGGGUGCAAGCGUUAUUCGGAAUCAUUGGGCGUAAAGGGUGCGUAGACGGCUUAUUAAGUCAACUGUUAAAUUCUCCGGCCUAACUGGAGGUCAGCGGUAGAAACUAAUAGGCUUGAGAUUGGAAGAGAGAAGUG